AUACACACUGCAGAUUGGGGUGCAGUCACCACCCAUAAAACCACUACAUCUUUCUAGGCAUUUACUUCAUUGGGGCUGGCUACAGGGACUUGACUACUGCCCAGCAAUCAGAAAGCGCAACCGUGAAGGGAAGAGUUCCCGUCUCCAGCAAGGCCACGCAGGAGAGGGACAGCGCACCGGAGACAGCGGAAUCCCCAGCUACACUACUCUGGGGAAAGUCCUAGAAGGGGAGAGUGGUGGGGGCUGGGCGCCCUUUGAAGAGACCACUUGGGAGUCUGAAAGGGAAGGGGCGGGGGCCGCGAGUUCCAGUGCCUCGCUGGCCGGUGUCGCUGGUCCCCCAAAAGCGGGCGCCGCGGGGCCCUUUAAGGAGCGGGGAUCCGCCCCAGCCUGGCGGGCAGACCCCGGCACGGGCGGGGGGCGCCCCGCGGGCCCUGCAGCUGCUCCCUGCGCCCGCCAGGUGGCGCCCCCGGACGCCCUGCGCUCGUCCCCCGCUUUGUUCGGCGGCCGAGAGGGGCCCGGAGCCGCAGCCCUCCCCUCCCCCACGGCGGGGCCCCCGCCCCGGGCCGUCGGGCCCAGCUCUUACCGCCGUCGUCGUCCUCGGGCUCCGCGCCGCCGCUCGCUGCGCGGGCGGCAGCCGUCGGCCCCCGUCGAGGACACUGCGGCCCGGGGCCGCCCCCUGCCGCCGCCGCCGCCGCUCCGGCUCCGGUGGUCCCCGCCGGGCUCCAUGCGCUGCGCCG
rnacentral:lncRNA from 1 species